rfam:Gossypium hirsutum cultivar TM-1 chromosome 8, whole genome shotgun sequence
AUCCCAUGAUAAGGACACUUAUGAAGUAACUCCUUAAAUCACUCCUAAGCCUUAUACAAAGACUCAUUGUCCAAUUGUUGGAAAGUUGUGAUCUCGUUCCUCAAAGU